ACACUCAUUUUACUCAGCAUUCCUGGGGGGCAAGAGGGCAAUUCCUAAGGGCCUGUCUAUGGCGGUGCAGCUGAUGGGGAAACAGGAGAGGAGCCUGCCACUCUAGCAAAGAGAAUUUCCAGCUCUGCGUCUCCAGGGAGUAAGAAAAGAGAAAUGGAAAAUAGAAGACAAAGCUGGCUGCUUCAACAAUAACUCAGUGCUCUCCAUAACAGCAAUCCCAGGCGUGGUAUCCAGAGGUACAUCUCAGUUCGCUUUUCAAUACCCAAAGCAAUUUUCCUGAGAGAUUGGAAAAUCAGGAGGAGGCAAGCCCAUGAUAUUUUGAUGGCAGGCCCCACUCGGAAAGGCAUUGUGGAACUUUCUGGUUAACAAAGUUAAAACCAAAACAAAGUAAAUGACAAAUCCACCACCUCAAUCUGCAUUGUAUUUUUUGUUUUUAAAGAAAAUGGUAAAACUUUUGCUGCUGCUUUUAGUGACUGAGAUUUUCAAGAGUGGAUUGGAGAAAUUAUUAUCAGUCUCAUUGGCAGCUAAGAAACCUGCUUUGAGAUGGGUAUUUGCUUAUUAAUAAUACUGCUUUCCACUUCAGCCUCAUCUGUAAGGCACUGAACUAGCUGCUACUGGGUCUUCAACCUACCUUCAGACUUCUACUUCAUGAAGUGUUUCCACAUCUACUGUGAGAUGGAUCACUUCUUCUCCAUUCCUAGCACUUUUUAGGUAUCUCUCCUAUGUGAUAGGAGAGAUAUUACAUCUAUUACAUAGAUGUAAUGAUGUUGCACAAGGCUGAGCAACCUCAGCCUCGCUCUAAAAUUAUUUACAUCAUAGUUUACCAUUCUUUGAGGGUGGCACUUUGUAUUUCAUAGAAUAAUUGAACAUUUAGAGAAUUAAUUGAAUGAAGGUGUGGAUGGGGAGUUGGAUAGAGGAAUGGAUACAUGAUGGUAGAG
rnacentral:lncRNA from 1 species